rnacentral:rRNA from 1 species
AGUCGGACGGCAGCGGGGUAGUGCUUGCACUACUGCCGGCGAGUGGCGAACGGGUGAGUAACAUAUCGGAACGUACCGAGCAGUGGGGGAUAACUAAUCGAAAGAUUAGCUAAUACCGCAUAUCUUCUGAGGAAGAAAGCAGGGGACCUUUGGGCCUUGCGCUGUUUGAGCGGCCGAUAUCUGAUUAGCUGGUUGGUGGGGUAAAGGCCUACCAAGGCGACGAUCAGUAGCGGGUCUGAGAGGAUGAUCCGCCACACUGGGACUGAGACACGGCCCAGACUCCUACGGGAGGCAGCAGUGGGGAAUUUUGGACAAUGGGGGCAACCCUGAUCCAGCCAUGCCGCGUGUCUGAAGAAGGCCUUCGGGUUGUAAAGGACUUUUGUCCGGGAAGAAAAGCGCGAUGUUAAUACCAUUGCGUGCUGACGGUACCGGAAGAAUAAGCACCGGCUAA